rnacentral:rRNA from 1 species
AACGCUGGCGGCGUGCUUAACACAUGCAAGUCGAACGGAACACCCUUGACAGAGGUUUCGGCCAAUGAAGAGGAAUGUUUAGUGGCGGACUGGUGAGUAACGCGUGAGGAACCUGCCUUUCAGAGGGGGACAACAGUUGGAAACGACUGCUAAUACCGCAUGAAGCAGCGAGGGGACAUCCCCUUGCUGUCAAAGAUUUAUCGCUGAAAGAUGGCCUCGCGUCUGAUUAGCUAGUUGGUGGGGUAGCGGCCCACCAAGGCGACGAUCAGUAGCCGGACUGAGAGGUUGACCGGCCACAUUGGGACUGAGAUACGGCCCAGACUCCUACGGGAGGCAGCAGUGGGGAAUAUUGGGCAAUGGACGCAAAGUCUGACCCAGCAACGCCGCGUGAAGGAAGAAGGCUUUCGGGUUGUAAACUUCUUUUAACAGGGAAGAGAAGAAGACGGUACCUGUUGAAUAAGCCACGGCUAACUACGUGCCAGCCGCAGC